CAUGGCACCGCUUGGCAAGCCAUGUUGUGGUAGGCGUCCCACAUAUAAACUAGAGGAAGAGGGGCAUGGGUGUUAGCUCAGGGCCAGUCUUCCUCCCCAAAAAGAGGAGGGUUGGCAGCAGAUAUUAGCUCAGGGCUAAUCUUCCUCAAAAAAAAAAACAAAAAAAAAAGAAAGAAAAAAGCAGUUUUCCUUGAUGCAAACCUCAUGCUCUUGAUUGCUACAUUGGACUUAUUUUUAGCACUUGGUGGAGGUGCUAAAGGGUUGUGGGUUGUGGCUUCUCCUGCCAGCUCUGCUAGAGGGCAGGUGGUUGGGAGAGAUAUGGAACCUCCCAGUUGGAAUGACUGAUGGUCUUGGUCUCAUUGGCUCUGUUCACAGUCUGCCCCUGAGCCAGAACACCAGCCUUACUGGGUGGCACAUUGGGACAGCUCUCCACAACUGUUUCCCAAUGACGCCUUGGACAAUGUCACUGUCACCACCAGCAGGAACCGCCCCCUCCUUCCUAUUUCAUCACUCUCAAGCCAAGGUUCCCUCUCCCUCAGGGUGUCCGCUAGGAUCUAGCUACGGGGUGGGGGUCUGAUACAAACCAGAAGGCAAAUGGUGAGAGUCCACAUGCUUCCUGUAUUAGUCAUGAGUCCUCUGGUUGUAAGUAACAGAAUUACCGCUGGGACCAGCUUAAGAAGAAAGGAGGUGAGGGGAAGUUUAUUGGUUCAUGUGACCAGAGCAGAAAAUCUUCUUCUUGGGGAUGGACCCUGUUUCUCUGCUCAGUCCCGUGCCAAUCCUUGGAUGAAUCAGAUGGAUGGGGACACUGAUGGGCUCAGUCCUAGUCACAAGCCCCCUUCUCUGGCAGGAGGAAGGGCUGCUGGAACCACGGGAUCAAAAUCGGGGUGGAAGAGGCCCACAAAAAAGGGGAUUGUUGUUCUUGCAGACGAUUCGCCUCCAUCUAGGGGCGCCCAGAAGUGUGAGUUCACUCUUGCCUGCCUGAGGAGUGGGAAGCUUCAUGACCCUGGCACCAGUUACCCUACUGAGUUUCUAAUCAGAGCUGAGGAAGAUUGA
rnacentral:lncRNA from 1 species